CAAAGAAGGAUUUGAAGAGAGCAGUUUGGAAACGGGAGGAGAUUGUAGUGCCGAGCAAAGGACUGAGCGUGGAUGAUGCACGACCCACCGCAACGUGGAGAAAGGGGACCAGGCCUAAUAUCCCAGCGCACCUCUACACUGGGCUCUUUGAUGGUAGGAGUUGCAUUUUAUAUUAUUCAAAUUGCCUAGCACAUAUUAGGUGCUUAAUGUCUGAUGAGUGAAUGAACAAAAGAAUGAAUAAAGGAACAAAGGAGCAACGAUGAGAAGAAAGCAACACCUGUGUGUCUGAGGAGAGCCUGGUGUUUCUACAGUUGCUUCUCAAACUGGCUCUGCUUCAAAGGAAGAAAGAGGUAACAGGCUUUUUGAAGAACAGGUUGGGGUUAGAGAAAGUCCCAUUCUGGCGCUGAGGAAGAGAGAAGAGAGGGAUCUCUAGGUGGAGAAAAAUAUUAAGAGUGCUUUUUUAAUCAUGUGGAGAGAGAAUUAGAUGAACCAGUCCUCAAGGAUACCCAUCUCCCUUUGCAGGCUGACUGGGGAUAAAGAGGGGAAAUCUGUCAACAUAACCAUGGCCUCAGUCCUUGCCCCAGAAACAAGUGUGCUGCAUAAAUGUUGAUCAAACUAUAGCCUAUAUGAAUUGUACUAAGGGCCACCAUGGAUCCUCCUGCCACAAAAUAACUCACCAGCUUGGCACAGAAUGGUUGUCCCAGCCUAAUAGGCCAGGUAACUAUAACAAUAGUUACCAUUUAUUAAGUACUUACUAUAUGUUCACUUUACUUGAAUCAUCUCAUUUAGUCCUCACAACCCUAAUAAGUUUAAAGUCAAGAAAGUCAAGACAUUGAGAAGUUAAAUCUGUUCAAGGUCAAGCAGGAUUUAAGUGGUAGAGCUUAGAUUUAAACCCAAGUCUGUCUUCAUUCUUAACCACUGCUCUACACAGCUUUUUAUCUGAGCCUCAGGGUAGUUAUGACUUGCCCAAAGCCACUUAGCUCAUAAAUGGCAGACCUGGGAUUUCAGUAUAGGCCUAUGUGUUUACCAAACCUACACAUUUUACACUCUACGCUCAUUUAAGUAGGUGAGGAUUGCAGGAGGCUAGAGUACAUCUCCAGUGGGAGAGUCACAGAAAACAUUUCAAUACUUCAUAACCUUGCCUUCCAGGGACUCAAUUGUAUAAGGUCUCAAGGUAAACUGAGACUCCACCUCUCACCCUUUGUGAGCAGUCUAUAUCCCAGGGAACUCAAAGAGAGCCAGAAGUCAUUUGACACUGAACUUUAUUUGUUCUGACCAUCUGAUACACUGUCUACCCUGCUAGGAAACAGAGACAAUGCUGUCUGCAAAAGGCCAGAGACAUGCCAAAAUAAACACUGUGACCAGAUCUCAAGAACAGCCCUGGAGGACAGAGUCUGGGGUGGCUAGUCAACUGCCCAAUCGGGUCCCCUCUCUUCUCAGCUCUGAAUGGGUGCUGAUUCUUCAAAUGGCUGUCAGAGCUGCCCUCUGGAGACCAGUAACUAACUUUGGUGUCCAAAGUCUUGAUUACAGAGAACUGUAUGUUACCCAGUUGUCAAUGAGAAUCCACUUCUCUUUACUGGCCAUGACCAAAAAAUGGGAGUCAGGUGGUGGGGUGGUCCAGAGAUAGAAACUAACUUGAGAAUUUCCAGUAAACAUCAAGCAAGGGCUGUCCAACUGAUUGUACCAGAGAAGCCCUACAAGGUAUGACUGGAGAUGCCCCAGAAACAUUUCCUAGGAGAUAUUUGUGCUAUAUAAACAGUGCCAAGUAAGUAAGGGCUUGCUUCCCAGAGACCUCUUGCAACCUACUUCAGCUUCUUCCUUAAUUCAGACCCCAUGGGGCUGCUGCUUCCCAAAUCUAGUAAGGUGAAAGGGUUUCCCACCAACAACUCCCUUCUCUCCCUUCUCUCUAGUUUCUAUAAGGAGGCUCCAAGGAGGGCUCAUGAGUGUGUGAGGCCUGAGAGAGGAGAAGACUGCCUAGGGUAUCCAGUCUUCUCUGUUAUUCCAGCUCUAGCCACGUGGGGGCCCCUGGGUCCAGAGAAUCGGGCACCCAGCUCUGGCUUUGCUCCCAGGGAAGGCUGGAGAGUUGGGAAACCCUUGCCCAGAAGGCCUGGGGCAGCUCCCUUUCACCAGCACCUGAGGGCGGGCGAGUGCACCACGAAAGUCUCAGGUUUCAGGGGGAUGGCAGUUGCCUGUCUAAAGGCUUCUCUGUUCCUUGGAAUUGUACAGAAUGUCUCUUGUGGCUUUUUCUCCUCCCUCCUUUUUUCCUGUUGACUCUCCCCAUCCGGCCCUCUGAAUCACCAGACUCCACAGGAAAGCAGCAGAUGUUGACUUUACUUCGUUCAAGCCAACGUCAGCUCUCUCCUGUGGAGUGGGGAGAAGGCAGGAAGGUGAGAGGUGGGAAAUGGAGGAAGAUAACCCUCGUCCUUUCCAAAUUGUGAGGGAGGAUAUAGAGGGAAACUGAAAGAAGUCAGGGACCUAGGCAAAAAAUUCUUAAUUCCUGGGGAUGGGGAAAAAAGGACCCUACACUAAGGUCCCAGUGUUGGCUCUGGAACCAGGAUGGUAAGGAGGGAAGCACAGGGUGGGAGUGUUUAGUGCCAGCCCUUCUCGUCUGAGGUAAGGCCUCAUCCCUUGCCAGCAGCAUCCUCAUGACUCAAAGGUCAAGUCAGGCUGCAGGUCUGGGGAGAUAGUCCAGAGGCUUCUUCCUGUCCCAUCUGAGCCCCUAAACCUCUGCUGUUACGCAAGUCUUUUGGAGAAGCUGCCAGGGAGGACUUUCUAGGGCUUUAUUCUACAUUCAUUGCUCCAAUUUCUCUUCUCUUUUUUCUUCCUCUGGGAUUUUCUUACGGGCAAAGAAGCCAAGCUGUAGGGAAAGAGAUAAGAGUCUUCACCAAAUGCCCUGCCUGGGGACCCGGCCAACAGCCCUCAGAUGUAUCUGAAGUCUUCAAUUUUGUUCUGCUUCCAAAACUGAGAUUCAAAUUUAUUUUAUUUGGCUUAGUUUAAUUCAACCAACAUUUGUGGAGGACAGUGAAGGAGAUCUGGGCAUGACACCCACAGCCUGCUUAGCUGCCCAGCACAAAUCCGGUUCUCCCGGCUAUAAUCAAGGAUUCCUUAAUUCGUGAGCACCAUGCCCCGUACUCCCCACGACAGCAGUGCUUACCUUCCAAAGGCAGAAGACAAGGAGAGCAAGCAGAAGCAGCCCUCCCAGGACACUGCCAAUGAGGAUCCACAGGGAGAUGAGGACAGGGCGGGACUGAAUUACCUCCAGGAGGCUCUGCAUAGGAAGGAGAGUUGUUUUUUAUUUGCACCGUUUUGCCCAGCUAGCCUCACCCAACAUUGUAGCAAAGCCAGCCGCAAAAUAGAAGACUAAAAGGAAAGAGACUGAGGUAGGAAUGGAGGCAGUGGGACCCCACCAUUCUGAUUUAUCACUUCUGACUCCCUGACUGCUGCCUAAUGAAGACACCUCUGUUCUGAAAAAUCUCACAGGUGCCCUUAGGCCACUGCCACCCUUACUAGUUCCACAGUUCUCAGACUCAGUCUCCAGCCCCACCUCACUCCAACGGGAGGCUUCAGUCAGCUGUAGGACACUGCCCUCCUCAGUUCCCAGCUCGAAGGUGCUGACCACUGUCAGAGACUUGAAUUUGGCCUGUGAAUGGAAAGACAUUUAAAGUGAGCCAUCAUCUGAACUGGGAGAUUGGGAUUGAUUAAUAUAUGUAUAAAAAGGAUAACUAAUAAGAAUCUGCAGUAUAAAAAAAAUAAAAUUCAAAAAAAAUUAAAAAAAAAAUAAAGUGAGCCAUCAUCAGGUGAUAAGGCUCUCAGAACCCUAAUGGCAAAGAUGAGGCUGAGGGGUACAACUUCCAGGACGUUCAAAACCAGAGGAAAAGGUUGGAGACUGAUGGGGAAAGAAAAGAAGGGUAACAGAUGGAAAGCCUAUGGCCCUUCAUAUACUCUGUUUGCCCUACCUGAAAUGCAUUCAACUCCUCUUUCUUUGGCUAACGCCUACCCUUCCUUUAGAUGUCAUCCCCUCUGGGAAGUAGGAAAGUGUUCCCUCCUAACCCCCAUCACCCUGGAUCAGGUUAUAAUAUUCUGUUUACUUCUCUGUCUUUCACCUCUGAACUAUAAGAUCCUUGAGGUCAAGGGUUGUGUGUUAGUAAUUUAUGUGUCCCUAGUUUCUCAAUAAAUCUUUGUUAAAAGAAUAAAUAAAUGAAUGAAAAAAGGAUACCAAAGAGAGAUAAAGAGAGAACCAGACUUAGGGAAGGAUGGCCUGUCAGACUUAACUUCCCUGAAAGAUGCCUACAUCCCAGGGAUCUUUUGUAAUUCAAAGUAUACGGAACACGGGAAAGCACAAUAUAAACCCCUAGUACUAAACAGCUGUUAUAAUUAAGAGGUCAUUUCCCUGCUCAGGAACUCACAUGACUCCUGACUGCCUAUCAUAUUAGGUUCUAUUUCAUCUUCCUGGCUUUAAAGAUCUUUGAUAAUCUAGAUCUCUUUCACUAUACAAUAUCACUUCCCACUACCCUCCAUGCUUACCCUGCAUGUAAUAUCAACUAUUUACUCAUUCAUUUAAUAAAAAUGUAUUAAAUCACUACAA